rnacentral:rRNA from 1 species
UACGUAGGGGGCAAGCGUUGUCCGGAAUCAUUGGGCGUAAAGAGCGCGUAGGCGGUCCGGUAAGUCCGCUCUGAAAGCCCGGGGCUCAACCCCGGGAGGCGGGCAGAUACUGUCGGGCUAGAGUCCGGAAGAGGCGAGUGGAAUUCCUGGUGUAGCGGUGAAAUGCGCAGAUAUCAGGAGGAACACCGAUGGCGAAGGCAGCUCGCUGGGACGGUACUGACGCUGAGGCGCGAAAGCGUGGGGAGCGAACAGG